rnacentral:rRNA from 1 species
UACGAAGGGGGCUAGCGUUGCUCGGAAUCACUGAGCGUAAAGCGCACGUAGGCGGACUCUUAAGUCGGUGGUGAAAUCCUGGAGCUCAACUCCAGAACUGCCUUCGGUACUGAGAGUCUUGAGUCCGGGAGAGGUGAGUGGAACUGCGAGUGUAGAGGUGAAAUUCGUAGAUAUUCGCAAGAACACCAGUGGCGAAGGCGGCUCACUGGCCCGGUACUGACGCUGAGGUGCGAAAGCGUGGGGAGCAAACAGG